rnacentral:rRNA from 1 species
UGCGCAGGCGGUUAUGCAAGAUAGAUGUGAAAUCCCCGGGCUCAACCUGGGAACUGCAUUUGUGACUGCAUAGCUAGAGUACGGUAGAGGGGGAUGGAAUUCCGCGUGUAGCAGUGAAAUGCGUAGAUAUGCGGAGGAACACCGAUGGCGAAGGCAAUCCCCUGGACCUGUACUGACGCUCAUGCACGAAAGCGUGGGGAGCAAACAGGAUUAGAUACCCUGGUAGUCCACGCCCUAAACGAUGUCAACUGGUUGUUGGGAGGGUUUCUUCUCAGUAACGAAGCUAACGCGUGAAGUUGACCGCCUGGGGAGUACGGCCGCAAGGUUGAA